AAAGGCUGGUCUUUCCACAUGGCUGCUUCACACUCCAGGCCAGUUGGAGGCGGUAAUGCACCACAACACCAUUAAAUGGAAGAAGAAUAAGACGACGAACCAAACAGUGGAGACAGAUAAACAGCAGAGAGGACAGAGUUCAUUUGAGACCUAAAGAGAAAUAUAUGUUAUAACCUGGAACUCGAGACCAGCAGGUGGCAGUAAUGCAAAAAGCUGUUGUUUGCCAACCGCCAUAAAACAACAAGGAGAAGGCGAAGAAGAAAAAGACGCGGUUUUAGCAGAUGUGAGUGUUUGGCUAAUUUAAUAUCAACGUCAUGGAACACACUUCCAUUUGACUCCACUAAGGACACAGCGAGGCGGAAAGCUACCUGCAGCUACAUGUCCUUGUGAGCUCUAUAUCACCAUUUGACCUAAAAGGGAGCCAGUCUGGGAUGAAGCAGAAGCACAUGGAUUAAAGCCCUGUCUGAAGUCAGAAAAAGGGAAAAAGACAGAAAAGUGAGCUGGUGCAGUCAGUGCAGUAUAACUAUCUGUAAAAACAGUGGCAAAAAGUUGGUGGUGAUUUGCAGCAGAUCCAUAGACUACCUCAGGGUUAGUGUUUAAUAAGUUCUCCAUUUUUGGGACUCUAAAUUUCAAGAGGAAAUUUAAAAACACCAGGAUGGGGAAGAAAUCUGAUCUAAGUGACUUUGACCGUGGCUUGGUUGUUGGUUCCAGACGGGCUGGUCUGAGUGUCUCUGAAACUGCUGAACUCCUGGGAUUUUCACGCACAACAGUCUCCAGAGUUUACACAGAAUGGCGCAAGAAAGAAAAAACAUCCAGUGAGCGGCAUUUCUGUGGGCGAAAACGCCUCGUUAGUGAGAGAGGUCAGAGGAGAUUGGACAGACUGGUGCAAUCUGACAGGACAGCGACAGUAACUGAAAUAACCAUGCGUUAUAACAGUGGUGUGCGGAAAGGCAUCUCGGAAAGCACAACACGUCGAACCCUGAAGUGGAUGGGCUACAGCAAAAGACCGCGCUCUACUCCUGUCAGCCAAGCACAUGAAAUCCAGUCGGAUAGCUGAAGAAGGGAAAAGUCUACUCAUCUGAGAAUUCUCAGAAUUUGGCAUUAAAAUUAUGGAACCUUGGAUUCAUCCUGUUUCGUAUUAAUGGUUUAGCCUGGUGGUUGUGCAGUGCAUGAUGUUUUUGUGGCACACAUUAAGCCUCUUAAUACCAAAUGAGCAUUGUUUAAAUCCUGUGUAAGGCAUUUUCCUGGUAUGGUUUUGCUCCACUUGUCCCCUUAGAGUGAAUUGUUACUGCAAAUCAAUACAAAUCUUAUCUGACUAAUCACUUUUAGUCUGUGAUGAAACACUUCUAUCUUGAUUGAAGUGGUCUCUGCAAUCCCCAUCCACAGGGUAUGAGGGCUCAGUGAAUGGUUUGUAUGAAAAUUAUGUCAGUUGUAGGCCAUGGCUUUCAUAGUCACCAGAUGUCAACCCAGUUGAACAAAUAUCUUUUGGAAGAAUGGUGUUCAUCCCUCUAGUACAGUUCCAGAGACUUGUAAAAUUGAUGUCCAGGCACAUUGACGCUGUUCUAAUCUUUCAAUCUAAUCUUUAAAUUUUUUUUUUGUCUUAUUAAAAUAGAUAGCUUUACUAAUUCUAUCUUGCUAUGUACAGCAUACUUACAUCACCUACUUUGCCCAAAUGUUUAUACAAAAUGCCUGAAUUUGUAGCUAAUAUAAACACAGUUUUAUGCAGAAAUAACAACCAGUGAAGUGUGCUGAGAAAAAACAGAUAUAAAAGCAUGCGUAACAAUACUGCUUGCUAAUCACUGUGUCUUCUAGACGAGCACAUAAAUACGUCAUUAAAGUAUCAUUUGCAUCAAGUGAUGCUCUUUUGACGUUCUCUCUGGGGGCCAAGCUGUACCAAGACAAAAUCUUGCACUCGAAGACAAAGAAAAUCAUAAGUGUAAAUCUGUUUCUUUUAGUUGUUUUUCUUGUAAUUUUUUUUUUGUCAGUGAUGUUCCACAAAAUAGAUUUUGUCAAAUUAAAUAAAGUAAUCUAUUCAACGUAUGUAAAAUGUGAAAUUCCAUUAGCAAUAAGAUUGUGGGGAGCAGAACGGAUCUCAGAAAGCACAUGUUAAUUCUGGAGGCAGGUGGGCUACAACAAUAGAAGACCACAUCAGGUUCAAUUACGUUCAGCCAAGAAAAGGAAUCGGAGGCAAACAUAAUACCUCCCAACAUAAUAAUUAUUAAUUAAUUAAUAAGAAAUUAAUUACAAAGUCCCUUUCCAGCCUCCACCAGACAAAACAUCAAGCCCUCUUUAACCUAUGCAACAUCUGGCCUUCAUCUCUACUUUCAUAGAGGUGUUUGAGUGUGUAGCAGCUGUCAUCGUGGAUGCAGCUGGACUAUCAGAGUCUCAAGAGGUUCUGCAGCAGUGUGGCCAGACACCAGAGGAGCACUGCCAAUGGAUCUAUUCCCCAAAGCUCACCAAUGUCAGCCACCCAUUCGUCUCUUUACAGCAGCCGAAGGCCUCCUGUUGAUGGUGGCUGCUGGCAGAUGAGCAGGAUGCCAAGGAUAUAAUUGAGCUGGUGGUACUGGAGCAGUUCAUCACUUGACUGUUGGCAUGAACAGCAGAGUCCAGAACCACUGCCUGGCAUCCCUGGAUGAAGCCGUCCAUCUGGUGGAGGAUCACCUGGCGGCAAUUCCUGGUCCAGAUGACUCUCUUUACUGUCUCUCGUGGAAUUGGGUACACUGAGCUGGUUCCCUGACAUACCUCAGACUUCCCUUGAUCAUGCCGGAAUGUACUGCAUACAAGUGAAUAUCCAAGGGAGUAUACAUCAGGCCUUGGAAGACUUGGGCUGUAAUCAGACCUCAAUCCACCAAAGCCUGAGUCAGUGCAAGGCAUUGGGAAAUACAUGAUUGCUGAAGCCAUAAAACAAGAAGAAGAAGAAGCUGCUGUAGCAGCUGUUUCCCCGGAGACAUUGAAUAGACCUGCAGUUGACUCCAAUAAAGACACAGUGAGGCAGAAGCAUCCACAUAGACUGCGGCUCCAACAACGUGUCCUUGUUGGCCUAUUUCACCAUUUGACCUAAAAGGGAGCCAGUCUGGGAUGAAGCAGAAGCACAUGGAUUAAAGCCCUGUCUGAAGUCAGAAAAAGGGAAAAAGACAGAAAAGUGAGCUGGUGCAGUCAGUGCAGUAUAACUAUCUGUAAAAACAGUGGCAAAAAGUUGGUGGUGAUUUGCAGCAGAUCCAUAGACUACCUCAGGGUUAGUGUUUAAUAAGUUCUCCAUUUUUGGGACUCUAAAUUUCAAGAGGAAAUUUAAAAACACCAGGAUGGGGAAGAAAUCUGAUCUAAGUGACUUUGACCGUGGCUUGGUUGUUGGUUCCAGACGGGCUGGUCUGAGUGUCUCUGAAACUGCUGAACUCCUGGGAUUUUCACGCACAACAGUCUCCAGAGUUUACACAGAAUGGCGCAAGAAAGAAAAAACAUCCAGUGAGCGGCAUUUCUGUGGGCGAAAACGCCUCGUUAGUGAGAGAGGUCAGAGGAGAUUGGACAGACUGGUGCAAUCUCACAGGACAGCGACAGUAACUGAAAUAACCAUGCGUUAUAACAGUGGUGUGCGGAAAGGCAUCUCGGAAAGCACAACACGUCGAACCCUGAAGUGGAUGGGCUACAGCAAAAGACCAUCAUCUGCUUCCGUAAG